ensembl:lncRNA
CAAAACACAAAGGUGGUGCGAGAUUUUGGGAAGGCGGUUGCCUUUGAGUUUUGAAUUCAGGAAAAACCCUGUGUAUAGAUAUAGUAUUGAAGGCUACCCGCCAAAGUGGCUAUUAAGAGUGACUGCUUUACACCCCACAGCCGAAUACAAUGUCAAGCCCUGGACAUAACUGCAAUAGGCCACAACUCACCUGAACGUUAAAUCAGAAAGCUUUAACGAAACUUUCGGUCCCUACAUUUUUAUCCUGCGGAACCAUUAUGACAUCGCAUCUCCUUGGUCACAUGACCAGCUAUGCUUUUGACAUUAAUUAAUUUCGAGAUUUCACAACAGCGGUUUUCCAAAAAGGCACGCUGUGGUGGUAUUUUACAGAUAGGGCAUGUCCACCAUACAGUAAUCCAAUAGGUUAAUAAGUUAACUUAGAUAAUAUUUUGUUUUAUGAAUAGUUUAACCAAUGGUAGAUACUCUUUUAAGUUUGUUUCAAUCGCUCACGACAAGUGUUCAUUCGUUUUCUGCGCCAAAUAUCAUAAUCACCACCACUCAAUGUUGAAGUUAAUUGAAUAGCUCGAAAUGCUUAUAAAGUCAAACCUAGGCAGCUGCAUUAAAUGAUAAACCUAUAAGCCAUCAUGUUGAUCGUGCAUCAAAUAUGCAAUGGUAAGCAAUUUCAGCCGGUUGAUGACUACGGCAAACCUCCAGGCAAGACCAGACUAUUAUGACGUCACAGAGGAGAGUCGUUAAAACACAAACUCAUCAACUUCUAUCACACAGCCUAAUCACGGUGCACCUAUAAAUACACCCCCGCACCAUGUAGAACUCACUGAUGCACAGACGACGCCGAACUUCCACCACCAUCCGCCCGGAACGCGACCUAUGGACCAAGACGUCGGGAGUGGCAGGAGAGGGGUAGGUCUUCUACUCUUGACCAAUCAUUUGCAUUUCUACAACCUGUGUUGUUUGAAUCUUAAAGAUGAGACUUAGUUUUUAAUCCACAAUGAGCUUGUGCUCAAACUUUAAUGUACGAUCGAACAUGAUCACACUAUUCCCUCGCUUUCUUCGCCAUCCUUCCUCGUCUGUCCCCACCAACAUACCCCACGGUCCUAUAACUAGUACCCUCUGCUGGUCACACUAGGUGUUACAGUUGAUUAAUUGCAUUUCAACACAUCCCCCUUUCUGUGAAGCUGUGAACAACCUGAUUCAAUUUUUCUAAUAAAUUUUUUAAGAAAUUAACUUCAAAGAUCACUGCAUGUGACACAAAGGUAUUUCCAUCUUCAUCUUCACAUUCUGUUUCUCUGAAAGUCUCUUUGGUUCUGAGAAGGUUGCGAUGGUUCCUUCUGAGCAUGUGACCCUCCUCAGUCCUUACUUCAUAUGAUCUCGGUCCGAUCUCCUGGAGCUUUCCAGUAGCUUUCCGGUUCCACACAUCCUGAUCUCGGAUACGCACCACAUCAUCUUUGGCAAGUGGUCUGAGGGUUUUGGUUGACUUGUCAUAAUGCUGUUUUUGUUUCCAUUUCAUAUUCUCCAGUUUUGUCUGUGUCUCUGCACUCUUUGAUGUCUGUAUAGCAAGGUAGGAUUGUGUGUAACUUGUGAUUCAUCAACAGUUCUGCUGGGGAUAAACCACAUUCGAGUGGGGCCGUUCUGUAGCUUAGCAGAGCUAAAUAAGGAUCUGACUUGCUGUCUGUGGCCUUUUGGAGAAGCUGUUCGAUGAUAUGGCCUCCCUUUUCAGCUUUGUCAUUUGCCUGUGCAUGCUGUCGACUUGAAGUUACAUGGUGAAAUCCAUAUUGUCUUGCAAACUGUUGCCAUUCCUUGCUGUUAUAGCACGGACCAUUGUCACUCACUAGUCUUCGGUAUCCCAUGCCGGGCAAAAAUGGACUCGACAUGAUUAAUGACACUAUUGGAAGUUGCACUUGUGAGGAGAGCAAUUUCAGGAAAGUUUGAAUAGUAAUCUAUCUAGCAGAUAGUUUCUCAAUCUCUUUAUCAGAGGAGCAUGCAGUACUCAUCUCUGGCGCUCGUGAUAGCGCAUCUGCCAGCACUAAGUGCUUGCCUGGUGUGUAUAUAAGCUCAAAGCUUCAUGAUGAGCCGCUGAAUCCUCUGUGACAUCUCAUUGACACUUUUGUUGAUUGACACAAGAGGACGAUGAUCUGUCUCAACUGUGAAUGAAGGAAGCCCAUAGACAUUACAAUGAAAGAUCUGUAGUCCAUAAGCUAACCCAAGACAUUCCUUCUCAAUUUGAGCGUAUCUUGUUUCAGUCUUAGUCAUGGUCCAAGAAGCGUGAGCAACUGGCUUCCAGCUAUCUCCUUCUGCCUGUAACAAGACAGCUCCGAGUGUGUACUUCGCAUCUGUUGAAAUCUUCAGUCUCUUGUUGGGAUCAUAAUACGCCAACACAGGUGCAUUUGUCAGUGCAAUCUUUAAAGCAUUCCAUUCUCUCUCAUUUCUCGAUGUCCACUUGAAUGUCUUGGAGUCAUGGAGAAGUUCUCUCAAUGCUAAUGUUUUCACUGAUAGUUUCGAUAUGAACUUUCCAAUAAAGUUGAUCAUUCCCAUUAUUCUGAGUACACCUUGUCUGUGGGGUGCGGCUUGUCUAAAAUUGUUUUUAUUUUCCUCGUUAUCUGGCUCUAUCCCUUGAAGAAUACUUGUCUCCAAGUAAUGUUAUUUCUUGCGCUGUUUAAUUUUUGUCUGUUCUCUUUUGUCAGUCUUUCAUUGUGCUCUGGUAGAGUGGAACCCCAGAUUACCACAUCUUCUACAUAGCAAUGGACCCCUUCUAGGCCCUCUAGCAUAUUGUCCAUUGCUCAAUGAUAUAUUUCAGAUGCUGAGAUUAUGCCAAACGGGGCGGUAAUUUCAGUCAUGCUACUAAAGCUCCAUUAAUUGUCAAUGACCAAAUCCAUGUAUCUUCAUUUUCUAAGUGCCUAGCAUAUUCCUCUAUUACAUUUUUUACAUUGUCACAUGAUACCAUGCCGACAGAGUCUCACUUAGGUCAGUAUCUUCAACUAGCCUCACUGACUUGGGGUUGUCCUAUAAUAAACAUUGUCUUGCAAAAUGAGCAUCUUUUGGCAAAAUGAGCAUCUUUUGGCUUAUGUCUGCUACCACAACGUUUGCAGGAGUAUGCUGCGGCCUCCUCUGUUUUUCUUUUGUGGUGUAUGCUUUAUCUUAUUUUUGACUACAGCUACCUUGGCACUGUCAUGUACUGUCACUUCAUUAAAUGUCUUUGCGUGCUGUUGGGCUAAUUCACUCACAUGGCACACUCUCUGCUUCUUCCAGAGUUAGUUUAGCGUCUCAUAAAAGCUUCUCCCUUAUCCUAUUUUCCUGGUUUCCAUAGACUGUUUGAUCGCGGAUCCUAGAAUCUUUCAGAUCUCCAAUAUUGCAUGACUGCGCUUUAAGCUUCAAAUCAGUCACAAAGCAAUCAAAGGUUUCGUCAGGCUGUUGCAUCCGUGACCGGAACACAUACCUUUCAUAUACUGUUUUUCUGUGGGGAGAAAUACGCACUGAAUGUUCCCAGUAUGGUGUCGUACUCCUUUGUCUUUGCCGAACUCGAACGUGUUGAAAACCUCAAUGUCUUGGGAACCCGCUACCGUCAGUGGCAACGCCACUGGACUAGGUUAAAUAGACUCAGCCUGCAUGUCAUUACAAUGUAUACUCUUAACACCCAGCACAGCCAGAAGAGGACUGGUCACCCCUCUGAGCCUGGUUCCUCUCUAGGUUUCUUCCUAAAUGUUGGCCUUUUUAGGGAGUUUUUCUAGCCACUGCAAUUCAACAAUGUUGUUGUUUGCUCCUUGGGGUUUCAGAGUGGAUGUUUUAUAAAAACACUUUGUGACAACUGCUGAUGUAAAAAGGGCUAUAUAAAUACAUUUGAUUGAUUGAACUUAUCUUAGUAACACUUACAAUGUAUGAUAUGUUACAAAUGCUAUUAAAACGUAUAAUACAAUACGAAAGCCAGACAAAUGUAUUAGAUUUUACAAACUGUACGAAAACGUAUCAUUCCUUACGAAUGUGCACAAUUCACUGCACUGGGCUCAAGGUCAGGGUUAAGGUUUGGGUUAGGUAGGUAUCACAGCACUAGGGUUCAGGUUAGGGUUUGGGUUAAGGUUAGGUAGGUAUCACAGCACUGGGGUUAAGGUUAGGGUUAGAAAGAAAAUUAUUUAUAACAUAUUGAUGUUGUAACACCACUACUCGCCUCCUCAAGCAGGGAGUUCCUAUUUGCGGAGUGUAAGGACCUGGGUUUGAAACACAGCCUAACUUUUCUAUAAAUAAAGUGUGCUUAACUGUGGAUUCUGACUGAGUAUUUCCUGAGUGUUUUCCAAACUGAACUGGGUGUUGGUGACAAUUACUGACUUGUAACAUAGUAGAAUCUAUUCAAUAGAAAAUAUCGAGUUGUGUCAAAUUUGCCAGAGGUAUAGAUUUGAAAGGUGACUGGGAAGUGUCGUUGAUAGAAUUCCAAUACCCACAUACGUGAGACUUUUAAAUGGGGUGAAAAUGCAUUUGAAAAGGUGAACCACAUUUUAGUUAGUGCAAUGUUGGAUCAUAUAUUUGGCUUAAAAUACCGGUUCUCAAGAGCGAAACCACAUUUCAAUGUAGCAUGGAAUAUAGUAGGCCAGGCCGCUAAACAAAACAGCAGGAUGGAUCUGGAUUGAUGGCCAACCUCUCCACAAUGGCCAAGUCCAGAGAGCUGUGUAAGGACAUCAGGGAUAAAAUUGUAGACCUGCACAAGGCUGGGAUGGGCUACAGGACAAUAGCUUGGUGAGAACUGUUGGCGCAAUUAUUAGAAAAUGGAAGAAGUUCAAGAUGACGGUCAAUCUCCCUCGUUCUGGGGCUACAUGCAAGAUCUAACCUCGUGGUGUAUCAACGAUCAUGAGGAAGGUGAGGGAUCAGCAGGACCUGGUCAAUGACCUGAAGAGAGCUGGGAUCACAGUCUCAAAGAAAACCAUUAGUAACACACUACACCGUCAUGGAUUAAAAUCCUGCAGGGCACGCAUGGUCCCCCUGCUCAAGCUAGCGCAUGUCCAGGCCCGUCUGAAGUUUGCCAUUGACCAUCUGGAUGAUCCAGAGGAGGAAUGGGAGAAGGUCAUGUGGUCUGAUAAGACAAACCCGAAACACACAGCCAGGGCAACUAAGAAGUGGCUCUGUAAGAAGCAUCAAAGGUCCUGGAGUGGCCUAGCCAGUCUCCAGACCUGAACUCAAUAGAAAUUCUUUGGAGGGAGCUGAAAGUCUGUAUUGGCCAGCGACAGCCCCAAAACCUGAAGGAUCUGUACAAGGUCUGUAUGGAGGAGCGGGCCACAAUCCCUGCUGCAGUGUGUGCAAACCUGGUCAAGAACUACAGGAAACGUAUGAUCUCGGUACAGAAACCUUUGUAUUAAGUUCUGCUUUUCUGAUGUAUCAAAUACUUAUGUCAUACGGUUCCUGUAGUUUUUGACCAGGUUUAUAUUAGGCAGCAAGUGAACAUUCUGUCCUGUGUGGUCCAAUCCAUCAGACGAGUUACUGUAGCUCAAAUUGCUGAAAAGGUUUAUGCUGGUACUGAUAGUGUAAGGUGUCAGAACAGUGCAUUGCAUGUUUGCAUAUGGGACUGCGUAGCCGCAGACCAGUCAGGGUGCCCAUCCAGACCCCUAUACCACUGCCGAAAGCAUCUACAAUGGGCAUGUGAGCAUCAGAACUGGACCACGGAGCAAUGGAAUAAGGUGGCCUGGUCUGAUGAAUCACAUUUCCUCACAUGGAUGGCCGGGUGUGUGUUGCUUACCUGGAGAACACAUGACACCAGGAUGCACAAUGGGAAUGGCACCAGGAUGCACAAUGGGAAGAAGGCAAACCGGCUGAGGCAGUGUGAUGCUUUGGGCAAUGUUUUGCUGGGAAAACUUGGGCCCUGCCAUUCACGUGGAUGUUACUUUGACACGUACCACCUACCUAAGCAUUGUUGCAGACCAUGUGCACCCUUUCAUGGCAACAGUAUUCCCUGAUGGCAUUGGCCUCUUUCAGCAAGAUAAUACACUCAAGAUAAUACACUCAAAAAUAGUUCACGAAUGGUAUGAGGAACACAACAACCAGUUAAAGGUGUUGAUUUGGCCUCCAUAUUCCUCAAUCCAAUCGAGCAUCUAUGGCAAGUCCUGGACUUCAAACAUGCAAGCAACGCCAGGCUAUUAUGACGUCACAGACGAGAGUCUGUUUUUAAACUCCUUAGUCAGCGAAAUAUAUUGCAACUCAUCAACAUCUGUUAGGCUACAUAGUCACGGCAGCCCUAUAAAUAGAACCCCAAACCAUCUAGAAAUCAUUCAUAGUCAUAUCGAAUAAUCACAAUGCCCAGACGACGCAGAGCUUCCAGCGGCCGCCCUGUCCGCCGACGUCGCCGCCCCAAGAUGUCCCGGCGUCGCAGGAGAGGAAGUCGUAGAAGGCGUUAAACACUACUAGGUAUAAUCUAGGACCUAUCAAACGGCACCUUCCGGUUCUCAUAAGUCUGACUUAAUAAAAGAUAGGCUUUUAACAGAAACUCUUAAAACAUUGUCUAUUCCUCCAUCUUUUUCCUCUUCACACACACACACAACAUUAUGUCGAAGCAUAUGACCUGAACCGCCACUAAGUUUUCUUUCGAGUAAUAUUUAAAAAAUUUGGUCGAGGAAAAAUUUGUCACGUUACUGUGAACAUUUCAGUUUGAAUGUUGUUUCUCAGAAUCUAAAUACAGUAAUGAUUUUAUUCCUUUGACGUGCGCCCUUUUCUGUGACAUAAAACUCCUCCAUUAUUAACUAGCCAACUUCGCUGUUUUACUGUUAUUUUAAUCAUUAAAUGCUGGCAGAUCUGUUACUGUGGUUGUCUUUAGGAACUGCUGCUAUUCUGUGAUUGCACCCUGUUCCAUAAGAUCCUCCAUCAAGUUCCUCCAUAAGAUCCUCCAUCAAGAUCCUCCACUUGCUAAUAGUUAUACUCAGUAACAGUUCAGUUAAACAAAGUUUAUUUUAUUAUUAUUUUUUCAAAUAAUGCUUAAAAAUAAACUACUUUCAGUUAAUGGUUGUUUGGGUCCUCUACGUCCGUACUGUUUUUCGUCGAACCGUAACCAGAUCGCAACACCUAGGCAAACACAAACUAUGACCAUUCUCCCCUAGUCAAACAACCUUCUAUGAAUGUCGUUUGUGUUUUGGAACAGUACCAAAACUUAUGCCUUCUUCAAAACCUAUACCUCUUUCAACGCAGCAGUCUUAGACUGAACAACAUUGUGAAACAGAGCAGGAAGGUUCUUGGUUCAACUUUUAUGAGCCUAAUCAACCUGUAUCAGACAGGCUUCUGCAGCAUGGCACAGGCUUUUCUGACAGACUCCCAGCACCUCUUACUUGGUGAAUUUUAUAUUCUUCCCUCAAUACGCAGAUAUCGGGUGACUUGUUUUAAAACCAAUAUGUUCAAGUAUUUUCUUAAUUAGCCAUAGUGAUGUUUAGCUACUUGGCAUGUCAAUUGUCUUGUCGUGUUUUUGUAUUCAGCCUUGAAUAUUUAUGACCAUGUAUUCUAUUUAACAGCUGAAAAUAAAGACUCCACUGUCUCUCCACCACUUCCCACUACACAGCCGACGACCUCUCACCUGCCUCCUGCCCUUACGCAAACCUUGACCUCUGCUAAGGCAGCAACCUGACUCCCUACAUGACCUAUGACCUGGAUGUCAGCCACUGGAACUGCUCACCACAACAGAGGAUCUGGAUGGGGCUAUGGCCAGGUUCCAGACUGGUACUAGUUACCACACACACACACACACACACACACACACACACACACACACACAAAGGAUUGUGUGUGUUGUAGAUAUUCUGACCCAGUCUUCUAGCCCAUUUUUCCUGCUUCUAACUCAUCAACGUUGAGGACAGAAUGUUCACUUGCUGCCUAAAAUAUCCCACCCAAUGACAGGUGCCAUGAUAACAAGAUUAUCAGUGUUAUUCACUUCACCUGUCAGUGGUCAUAAUGUUAUGGCUGAUCAGUGUAUAAACACACAACAAAAUCACAAAGCAUUCUUUUAGGAAGAUAGUGAAAGUACCAAAGGUAUGUUACUUAAUUAUAACGGUGUUGUUAUAAUGAAGAAAAGGAUUCAUGACUUCAUCCUAUAUAGAUUAUUCUCAAAAUGAGAUCACUUGAAAUGUGGAUUGAGGUAGGAUUUGAACCAAUGUUCAGAAGAGGGGUUGCAGGACAACUUUUUGUUUACAAGUGACAGAUAAGCAUUACUUUAGGUCAAAUUAUCUUCUACACCUACAUUCGUCUGGCCCGCGUGGAAGGGAUUACUAUAAGGAUUACUAAAAUGUAGCUACUGAAGGUUGUAUCCAGCAAGGCCUUUGUCUAUCCUGAACAAAUCCUAAUGCAGAAUUUGAUUUGUGCUAUUUCAUGGCACAACAACGUUUGUUUUUCUUUCAUUAGUGAAUGACAUUGAUACAAAAAACAUCAAUAUAGGUGAUGAAAACUGACCUUUUCAUCAAGUAAAAAGACAAGAGAAUUGUGGAAACCCCACCUUUUAGUGCACAAAGGGUUGUGAUAUACUGUAUAUUAGGCAACCCCAAAAAGCAUACACGGAUGUGUACUUCAGUAAUCCACCAGAAAUUGUCAGAAUAUAAUUGUAAAUAAUUUUGUUUUAGUCUAUCCUGAAAAAAUCGUAAUGCAUAAUUUACAUUGACUGCGGAGAGGCUUGAAGACCCUGUGUGGGAGUCCACAUUUCUUACCACAGCGCAAUUUAUCAAGGGGUAAGAGACACUCACUCGGUAAGAGAUAUUUGCUCUUCAUGGCCGGCUCCGCUUACAAAAAGUUUUCCAUUUUCAAUUGUUUAUAAUAAAACAACAUUUCUUGCAAAAACUAAAGGCUGUGCAACAGAGGUGGAGCUCACAUGAGUGCGAUGGAUGCGCGGCACCUAUGGCAGCCAAUCAGAGGAGCCCACAAGAAGUUUAUCUAACAGUUGAAAACAUUAUCGCAAGCAAAAUAAAAUGAUAUUGUGAUUGUUUUCGGCACAACACCUGCCUGCAUUGUGUAGUAUACCUUUGUGGGUAUACUACACAAUGAUCAUAGAAUUUCUGAAGCUGCAUCUCAUUGUCUUAAGAGAGGCACAUUUGGUUUAGCAGUAGAGCUGCAAAAGUUGCAAGGAAGCUAGUUUAGCUGUGGAGCCACAGUUUUCUUACCGUGUCCAGCAAUGUUAAACUUUAUUAUCCAUCAAAGACUUUCUGUGGAUUUAAAUAUGCAUAUGG